GUUACAUUAUCUUUAACCCCUGCAGACGUAGAAGGACUUUACUAAAGCUAAGGCUGUAACCCUUUAUGUACCUACCUUCUGUCUAUGACAAUACCCCUCUUUAGGCGCCACCGUUGAGAGUUCUAGGCAAGGUAUAUCCAGAUAUAAUAGUUAUACCUGUGGGACUUUAAUUAGCUCUUCACCUCAGUUCCCUUGCCAUCUCACACCAAAGGAGCCAUCGAGGAAGACUUGUCC